rnacentral:piRNA from 1 species
UAUUUGGAACUUAAUUCUCUUGGUAUU